ACCGCUGAGCCACCCAGGUGCCCCACCCCUACCUCUUAAAAAAAAAAAAUUCAACUGAGUAAAUAUGAAUAUCAAGUAGGCUUUAUUAGGCAAUUCAUGGAUCAGGCAGUAUCCUAUGAAGCAAGUACUAAAAUGCUCCAGGGAGUUGUGCAAAAUGGAAGGUUCUUAAGGGAGGGGGAGUAGACAACACGGUUAUUAGCAAAAGAAAAGAAAGGAUUGUUUCAGGCAAAGUCACCUUCCCUUAAAGGGAAAGGCAGGGGAUCUUAGGGGAAUUACUUCAUCUUCCUUUGGGGGAAGGAGAAGGCCUAGGUGACAGAUUGCCUCCCUGGUGCCGACCAGAAAUUCCUGGCUCAUCAGUUAAGACAUUUCUGGGGGAGGCUGAAACAACACUGAAGUCUCAGGUUGCUAUCCGGGGGCAAAGGACUCUACCUCAGGCCUGUGGUUUUAUUUGUUUUUUUUUUUUUUUUUUUUUACACUUUUAUCCAUCUGGUGUCUUAGCCCGGAGCCUGGCGCAUAGUAAGCGGUUGUCCUAUAGUUGACAGCUCUCUCAGAGCAGGCCUUAGCCUUUUUGACCCCUGAAGGCAAGCUCAGGAACCUACCAUCCCCGUGCUGGAGCCAACCCCAGAUCUUGAGGGGUUGUCCUCCCAAGAUCUGGGGCUUGUCCUCCCAGCCAAUCUGUGCCAAGGGCUGGGAGGCCUGCUGACAGGUAGCUCUGGGCGGAUUGUGGCAGCCCUCUGGGCUUCUGUUUUCCCAGCUCUCAAAUCAAAAUGAUAAUCGCAGACCCUGUUUGCCUCCCAGGGGAAAAGGGAGACAAUGUAAAGACGGUACAUGGAAAAUGACAGAAGUGCUUUGUAGCCAGAAAUCCACAUUCACAGAAUAACUAUGAGAACUCAGUAUCUUUUCAGGAAGACGAACUGGGACUCCCCUACCGCUUCGCAGGAGGCAGGGCGCUCCUCAAGCAUUAAGAAUCCAACAAUUCCACGUACAAAUGAUGAUGGUUCAGCCAAGAUUCCAGCCCAUCCCACUGGAGGAUCCCGUGGACCUGGCCACCAAGAAGUUUCACUCAAAUCACCUAUCAGCACGUUAAUAUAAUACUGUGCAUUUGGUCUAACCCCCCAUGGACCAACAAAUUUAGGUCAAUCCUUUCCUGCCCUGCCACCUGCCUCCACCCCAUCGGGUCGACCCACCCAGGGCAGAGCUGGAAUAUGUCUCCAAGGAGGCGGACUUGGGUGCUUCUGUGCCAGGGCGAUGGUGGACUGUGGACAGCACGGUCUGAACCUGAAAGGAAUCAGGAGGGUGUGGCGCUCAGGGUGGUGGGAAUAGGGGACAGGCAGCACUUCCCCAGGGGCCCCUCCUUCCCCUGUCUGGAGCUGGGGUGUCCCUGAGUCCUUAUUUCUUGAGACUAUCGUAUGGUGAUGGUAAGGCAGAGAGCAGGACAAGCAGGAACGAUCUAGCCGCCCCUCCUCUCUGUCCCGCCUCCCCAGGUAAUUCUUCUGAAAACUUUCCGUCAGAGUACAGGGUGGAGCCUGGGCAGCUGUGACAGGGCAGUUCCAGGUGGAAAGGAUUUCCAGAUUCUUUGAGCCAACCCUUCCGUUUUGUAGAGGGCAUUCAUCCUGUGGUCUAGGAAAGGGGGAAAACAUAGUCUGUAUGUGAAGGGGAUGAGCAGAGUUACAGAAAUGAUCAGGGGUAUAAAACAUGGAAAGAGUUUGUGGAAUUCCAAGAACAUCUCUAUGGGGAUUCACUAAGUUUUCGGGGCCUGAGCGUGGAAUAGUGGGAUUGAGGGAGGGAACAGCUGAGGCUUUCCACCUCAUAACCCUCUCCUCCGCUCACUGCCUUCAGCUUCCUGAUGCAUCAGUGCCCUGCCCUGUACUUGCAGCUGAACUCGAAUUACACGAGGCAGGAUCUCCCUCUCUGCCUGGGGAACUGUGCCCGGAACCCGAGAUCCGGCAGCCACUGGUAAAGGCAUGACAGCGAGGCUGGAACCUCACAGGGCUGAGGGCUCUCCUUGGGGAGAGGCAGGACAGAGAUAGCAGGUAUCAACUGUAGGCCAGGGGGUGCCUGGGUGGCUCAGUCAGUCAAGCGUCCAACUCUGGAUUUUGGCUCAGGUCAUGUGCCUUGACAUAGGGCUCCGUGCUGGGCAUGGAGCUGCCUUAAGA